rnacentral:tRNA from 4 species
AAAAUCCGUCGACUUUAAAAAUCGUGAGGGUUCAAGUCCCUNUAUCCC